rnacentral:lncRNA from 1 species
CUACAAGUCAAUUUGUUGCAAUGAUUAUUCCAAUAAAGUUUUUGUGAAAAAAAUGUUUGUUGCUAAUACUAUUUUAAAAGUAUACACUACAAUAAAAAUUGCCUUUCGCAACAAGCAAAAAAUGUUGCGAAAACCUUCUGUAAUGCUCAGGCGUAUGUUGCGAUCUUCAAAGUUGCUGUAGAGUCAAAGGAUACUAAAACAAGCAAAGUGCGUUGCAAAAGGCAUCAAAUGAAUGCUGCUUUCAUCCAAAAUCAUUGUGACUAACACAAAUUCAAUGGGAAAAUCAGUCCACAUUAAUGUAUAAAAUUAAUCCAAACAUAUCCACACGCUAAAUAUCGGAGUAAUCUACAUCCUCUCCUGCCAGGCCACUAUAAUUAACUUCAGCCAGUAAAGGUUUUUGGUUAAAUUCUCCACUUCCUUAAGCAAACCACCAUCAUGAACAUUUGCCAGUAAAGGUUGAAUAUCCUUAGCCAUAGCUUUCAUCAAAGACAUCACUGCAUCAAGACAAUUUUUGUUUGAGAAUAUAUUAUAUGCUAUAGCAAAAGUAAACACUAGAAAACAGUAAACUAUGCAUGGUUUUUCGUAUUUGCUGCACUUUAUUUUGCAACAAGUCUAAGCACAAAAAACAGGAUGCUCACUAAUAAACCGAAAAGAAAGCAAUUAGAAUAUAAAGUGGUGUAAUACUAAUAAACAAAACUAGGCAGAAAACAUCACAAUGGUUACAAGAUUGCAAUCUCAAAUUACCCUCUUUUGUAUUUUUUCAAAGAUCUAUAUAGACAUGUCUAUUUUGGCAAAGCAUAAAAAUCAAGCAAAUCUCUUUUAAAGGGUCUGUAAGUUAUUCAUCUAAUGAUUCAAAGAUUUCCUUUCUUUCCGUUUAUCUGUAGUUUUCAAUAAACAAGAUAGCUAGGUAAUUGUUGCUUUUUGCAUUAUCUCAAGAUGUGAAAGAAACAGUCAAUGGCCUUUAAAUUGAAUGUCCAUAAUCUGCCACUUAAAGCGGAAAUCCAUGAGGAUUAUGUCAAUUAAAUAAUUCUAAACAUACCCCCACUUCAUACAUUAUAGGACCAAAAGUCAAUCUGUGUAUGAGAAGAUCAGAAUUAUACGACCUUUAAAAAAAUUGCACCCAUAAACUAGCUUUAUUAAUGGGUAAAAAGUGGAGACAAAAAAACAUAUUUUAGUAGCCCGAGGCCAUGUUUCUGGCACCAUAUGGCAAGUACUCUUCAAGACUUCCUUCCCUUAUCAACUCUCUCUUCAGUGUCAUUGUUGAAAGGACUGUUCACUCUCAGCAUUGAUUUUUCCCACCUAUUGGACCAAAGUAUUAGUUUUUUCAGCAUAUCUUCCAAUAUUUACAUCUUCCUAGCCAAUCAGUUGAUAUAAUCAACCUAUCCAUAGAAAAAAAAGAAACCAAUAAAAUAUAUACUUUUUUUGUUGCUGUAUGGAAAGUAAGAUUUUGUUAGCACCCCAAAUUAUACAUCAUGAAUAAAGACUAAAUCUCCAGAAUAAAUUCCAGUUUCUGCUGUGCAUGCAUUCUCACCUUCUCCAUUGCUAUUAACUGCAUAUUUAAAAUAGCAAACUCCAAGUCCAUAAACUUGAAUACCCAAUCAGCUCGUCAAUAAGUGAAGUGUUUUGCAAAACCAUAUCAUGAAAAAUUAUAUAAAUGACAAAGUACGUUAUUGACUUAAAUCCCAAAUUUGAAAAACAAGAACUGAACUUGUUCUAAAUUAUCCCCUGACAUUUAAUGAAAAAGAGAGGCUUAAUUUGCAGCCAAUUAUUUUUUCUUUUCUUCUCCAAUGUUCCCUGUCACUACGAAAAACAGAUAUGAAUUCUCCGCUCAGAAGUCAUACACAAUCGAAUCUGACCCUUAGUUUAUUUUUG